UAUCUGACCAUAUUCCACAUAAUUAAAUUUUGGUAGGGGCUCUUCUAAGAAACUAUGACCAAAAUGUGGGCUAUUCAAUUGUGAAAUCAAGAUAUAAGUAACACCCCACAAGAUUUACUCAUUCCUUCAAAACUACUCCCUAAUUUGAUACUGGUUCAAGUGAAUAACGACAAAAAAGGACCACGAGAUUAUAUUAGCUAAAUAUGCAGCAGAAAAUUCCAAAUCAAAAUGCUACAUAAUGUGUAUAUUAAUAGAGAUAUGAUAGAGAAUUAAGUAGCGUGUCAGUGAUGAGUCCUAAGAGCAUCCACUAUGGAUAGGCGCGGCGGUAGCCGCGAGGCGCGGCGGUGGGGCGGCGGAUUAUAGUGGAGAAGGUGUCCGGCCCGGGGGUGGACGCGGCGAGGGGGGGGAGACGCGGCGGACGCGCGAUAGCCGUGUGCGCGGCGAUGUCACGGCGAGGGGUCUAUAGCCGCGCCUAUAGGCGCGGCGGCUAUAGUGGAGUGCACCGCCGCGGCGAAUUCGCCGGUCCCGAGAAAUCUCUCCUUUGAGCUUCUCUGCUGCUAAUUUACUGUAUAUGAAGGUGUUGGCAUGGCUGUGGAGCUAAAAGAAGACGAGAAGGAGGAGAAGGAGGUGAAGAAGAAGACGACGAGGAAGCCGACUCCGACACCGAGUAGGCGGUGGUGGAUUUUUUAGUUGUAUUUUAUUUUACAUAUUCGUUGUAAAAUUUUACCGGUUUGAAAUACAACGAAUAUUCGGCCCUAA